CCGUUGCCGGCGACCGGCGCACGGGUGAGUAACACGUAUGCAACCUGCCCGUGGCAGGGGGAGUAAGCGGGGGAAACCCCGUCUAAUACCGCGUAACGCGGCCUUGGGGCAUCCCAAGGCCGCCAAAGGGAGCAAUCCCGGCCACGGAUGGGCAUGCGGCGCAUUAGCUAGUCGGCGGGGUAACGGCCCACCGAGGCGACGAUGCGUAGGGGUUCUGAGAGGAAGGCCCCCCACACUGGUACUGAGACACGGACCAGACUCCUACGGAAGGCAGCAG
rnacentral:rRNA from 1 species